rnacentral:tRNA from 1 species
AAAGUUUUAGUAUAAAUAAGUAUGUUUUAUUGUCAAUAAAGUGGUUUGAAACUUUA